GGAUGACAAAGCGGAGGGGUUCAGGUGUGGGAAAGUUAUGGGCUAUAGGUGUGUAGGGCUGAGAGUCAUGUUUGUAAACUUAAGAGUCCAGUCACCCACAUUUGACAAGGCUUUUGUAGGACUUGCGGGCCUUUUCACCUGUAGUUUUAUGACCCUAGUGGUAGUUUUACAAAGCCUAUGUACCAUGAGCGUGUGAAAACAUUUAUCAGGACGUGAUUUAUCGUCUUUUCGACCUCUGUAAGUAGUUGAUGUGGGAGGCGGAAACGUCUGAGAAUACCGAUCUGAGUAUUGUUACAUACCACAGACAACCCAAAGCGACUCCAUAUAAGCAGGCAGAGGGUGGACUCCAUAUAAGCAGGAAGAGGGUGGACUCCAUAUAAGCAGGCAGAGGGUGGACUCCAUAUAAGCAGGAAGAGGGUGGACUCCAUAUAAGCAGGAAGAGGGUGGACUCCAUAUAAGCAGGAAGAGGGUGGACUCCAUAUAAGCAGGAAGAGGGUGGACUCCAUAUAAGCAGGAAGAGGGUGGACUCCAUAUAAGCAGGCAGAGGGUGGACUCCAUAUAAGCAGGCAGAGGGUGGACUCCAUAUAAGCAGGAAGAGGGUGGACUCCAUUUAAGCAGGAAGAGGGUGGACUCCAUAUAAGCAGGCAGAGGGUGGACUCCAUAUAAGCAGGCAGAGGGUGGACUCCAUAUAAGCAGGCAGAGGGUGGACUCCAUAUAAGCAGGCAGAGGGUGGACUCCAUAUAAGCAGGAAGAGGGUGGACUCCAUAUAAGCAGGCAGAGGGUGGACUCCAUAUAAGCAGGAAGAGGGUGGACUCCAUAUAAGCAGGCAGAGGGUGGACUCCAUAUAAGCAGGCAGAGGGUGGACUCCAUAUAAGCAGGCAGAGGGUGGACUCCAUAUAAGCAGGCAGAGGGUUGAGGUAGAGUUAGACAUACCAUUUAUACCCCUGCCCAUACCCCACUUGACAGAAAAAAACAAAGAGGAAGAAGUGUUAGCAGGUGUGAAAGAGGUGUUAGACAUGCGACAGACA